CUCAGAAUGGCUGCUCCUAACUGAUUUAAAGCACUUCUUCCUGGUCACAAGUUCUCCGGUUGCCUCUUUGUGUUUGGAGCAUGGAUACCAAUAAUGGAUGCACUUGAAGUGACUACGGCUGACUCCUGGGGUUUGACACACUGAAACCCACAAUGGACAUACCCAGCCUGAGUUAAGCAUUCUGCUGUGAUUAUGUUCUCCACGGUCUCCUCCGUUCAGAACCUGGAGACCAAUAAUGGACAAACUGAAGCUGAUUUAAGGGGUCUCCCACGGUCACAUGAUGUAUGGUUGCCUCUAGAACAACCAUGUGGAUGCAUAGAAAGCAAUAAUGGAUGCAACGAGCGGCCAUAGGCAUUUUGCUGUGAUCAACAUUAAGCUGCCUCACAAGAAAGAGACCCUUAAUGGAUGCAUCGAGCUGAUUUAAACAUUUUUCUGUGAUCGAGAUUACGUUGCCUCUGUGUUAGGUCACUGUAAGUAACAGCCAAAGUUCUUGUUUUGCUUUGAGUCACUUGUUUCAAGAUAUUUCUUGUAUUAUUGAAAAUUGUUAAGUGUAAAAAAUAAUAAAUAGCCCAGUGAUAAGCGCAA